rfam:Dipodomys ordii ctg_broad_rename0001193, whole genome shotgun sequence.
GAGAAAUUGGCUCAGUGGUAGAGUGCUUGCCUUGCAUGCAUGAGGCCCUGGGUUCGAUUCCUCA